AGAGACAGUGAUUCCCGAAGGAGGGCCCAGCCAGGGGCUCCCCAAUAUUCCCAGGCCAUAAUGAUGGACCCACAGCCCCAACUUCACCUCAAAGACUGGAGCCUCCCCUCCAACUCCCAUGCUGUGCUUGUCACUCUGAGAACCAACUGAGGCUAGAACCCUGGGGUCCCAGCUGAGUUCCACAGGGGUGGCCAUCACACACCUGUGCCCCAGGUAUCCAAGGCCUGUCCUCUAGCGGGAUUGUCAUCUCCAGGACCAUGGAAGGGGAAGGGGGUGGUGUCUCUGUCUCCAAACAAUGUCAGGAUCAGGAUCGAGGACAGGAGGGAAAGUGAAGUUCGCAUCCUGUCCCACAACAUUUUUUAGUCCUCCCUACUUCUCCCUUUGCUUUGUAGGAGCCCACAUCUAUAUUUUUUUUCGUCUCCCACAAGAAUGGUGGAGUUUCUUCCCAACCCAAAUCUGGAGAGGUCAGAAUGGAACUACCUCAGUUGGCACAACCAGAUCAUAGCUCCCAUCAGUUUCAGAUUCCAGAUCUGGCAUUGACUGUAAAGUCUACCACAAAGUCCCAAUCUACCUUUCCCCCAACCUCUUUCUCAAGGAGGAAACUCCACACCUCAUCCAGACAGCCCUUUCCAGACUCAAUAGAGGAUAUUUUCCCAAGUCCUCAGACAGCUAGAUGCAUGAUCAAAGGCUUUGGGGGUGGAGCCCCACAAAGUCUUGUUUGACACAUGCCCCCGCCCCUCAUCACUAUGACAGCCUUGACCAGUAUGCUCUCCCGUGCUGACUACAGGCCAUGUGAGUCAGCGGUGGUAAUAUUCAGGUUUGGUUAUUCUCUAGAAUGGCUCUAGCUGUGGAUGUGCACAAUGGAGUAGGACCUGCUGUCCCCCUUACUGCCAUUGGUCCGUAGUGCAGAGUCUCAUGGCUGUAGGUGGUUGCCACCCAGGAAACGUAGGAACGUUGGGUCGUCACACAGUGAGUGGGGUUGGGGUGAAUUCUAGCUGGGAACUUGUGCGGGGUGGGGGGCAUUUUUCCUCGUCUUUCCCACAGAUGACUUUGUAUUUGACCUGUCUACCCAAAGGGCAGAAUCCCCUGAGCGCCACUCCCAUCUUGCCAUCUCACAUGCUUGUCGCGGAUAGCUUACUAAUCUUGGACCUUUGGGCAGCCCAUCCACAGAACCAUCUCUCAUGGUUGUUAGCAAGAUGCCUAAUACACUAAAGCAAACUAAGCACUGUCACUUUCCUUACUGAAACAUCUCAACCAUAAAAGCCACCAUGAGGACAUUUCACCAACCUGUGCUCAGCAUGGACCCCGUGACACCAGCCUCUGAUAUUAGGACAUUAUUUCUUGAUUUCCUUAUUAAAGAAAAUGGGUGCUAGUGGUAAUUUGCUUUGUGGCUUAGCAACCUAAUUUGUGAGUGAUGGUCAAGUUCCAAGUCUUGUCAUACACAGGGGUUUUGGGUAUCACAGUGUGGCUCAUGACUUUGUUCCCUUGCCACCUCGCUUAGGACAUUCAGAGUCCCCUGAGAUGUCACUUCCUCCAGCAUAACUGAAGUUGGCUGAUGUGAGCCGAUUCCGUGUGAGGCUAUUCUCUUUUUGUUGUCCCCUCACUUCCUUUUUAAUCUAUCCAUGUAUACAUUUUCCUUCUUUUGUCCCCUUCUUUCCAUUGAUCAUUCAUUUAGAGUUUUGUUAAAGACAAGCAAUCUGUGAUCUCUCAUCUGAAGACAGCCUACAGCUCUGUGAUGCAAAGAAACCCUCAGACGUUCUGUAUAGAUCCACCCCUUCCUGAGAUGCACUUGGCUCUCCCUCUCCGAUACCAGGCCCGUUUGAGUUCUCAGUGGUACCAGCUCUAUGUGGGUUCAUGUGCACCUGGUUUAUGUGCCUGUGUGCUGGUUCACAGGCAUCUGUUCAUUUUCAUACUCAUAAAUGCUCUCAGUAAAUGCUUGGAACUGGGUGCCGAGUGCCGGAACUAGCCAUGUGUCUAGGAGGGCACCCCCAGCUCGCUCCACCUCCGGUUGACCCUUCUGGACAGAGGAAACAAUACAUUUUCCACCCCACACACUGGGAUUCUUGAAGUAUUAACUGUGCUAAGAGAUCUUGGCACAGCAGUGGGAUCUGAGUCUCCUGACUACCAAAUCUCAGUUCACACCAAGCUCAAUUUCAGAAAUGGCUGCAGUUGGUUUCCGGUAUGUUUCCUUCUACUACAAAUAGGGAAGAUAAGAGCAUAGAGGAGGUGGGUGCCAGGAAGUGAUGCCCAGAACUGUGAUUGUGGUAGAGUCACGUGUCCCAACUACCCUCACUGUACCCAGGGGAUGAAACCAAGAAGAUGACGAUGUGCAAGAACCUGAAAGUGCAUACUGAGUUGAGUAUUCAAGCUGCUGUUGUGGUCCUUGGUCUCCAUGCAGUGCUGGAUACCCAACCAAGAGUCAUGUGUCUAGGCCAGUUGCUCUACCACUUAGCUAUUCCCAUCCCCGUUACCUUGCUUUUGUGAACACGCCAGUGCAUAGGUUCUGAGAGGAUCUGGCAGGGUUUAUUUAGAGUGGGCGAGCAUCCAUUGUCCAGGCUGAGAGCAGCAACAGCCCUUUCUACCUGCCCCCGACUAGGAGUGCCAAUGCACUUAAGCUUUGUCUGCAAAACCCUGAUUUUAAAAAAAAAAACUCUAAAAUGAAUGAUGUUCAAAAAUGGGUUAGUUGCCAUGGCAACCUCCAGGAAGAGAUACUUGUUACCCUUCAUUAUUUUCUAGUACCUUUGAACAGUCUCACAGUGCAGGGGCCAUUUGAAGGAUGUGAAUGGCAGCCCUAGGCUGUCUCUGCUAUGGGGGCCACCUUUCUACCUCCACACAAGACCCUGUUGACUCGGGAGGAUCUCUGCAAUGGUUGAUUAAUAGCUGAGGCAAAGUAUCCAAAUUUGUGACAGGGGUUUGUUUGUGUGCAAUCCCUCUGUGGAAUCCACCCAAUUAUGAGGGUAGUGGAUGGGUGCAUGAGAAUCGUGGUUCACCAAAGCCCCUUCAUGGAAAUACAAGCCAUAAAAUUCAAAAGGUGUCAAAAGACCUUGGCUUGUUUGGGGGUUUGUUCCCCAUCUGUGAGUAGACUUGACAAGAAGGAUUUAAACAGGAGUCUGAAGACCUGCUGUUACUAGGAAGCUAAGAAAGGCAUUUUACAGACUUGAAGUAGAGAAGCAGGUCAGCUCCUGAUGGCUUAGACUGAAGACCCCUUCAUUGCCAAAGUUGUUCCCAUGCCACAAAGCAUCUCUCCACCUCCCUUUUCAAGGUAAUUGAGGUGUGACUAAAAUACAGUACAACUCGCCCUUUCAAGGAAUGCAGUUCUAUGAACCUUACCAUGACUGGUCUUCUCAACCACAACCAAGAUAAGCAUAUCACCUUGUCAAUUCCUCUUUUCCCACCCCGGAUCUAGCAGCCAGUUCAAUGUUCUGUCCCUAUAAUUUUGCCUUUUUCUACAACACCAUGUAAAUGGAGUCACACUGAUACAACCUUCUGGAUCAGCCAUGUUGUGCGUGUCAGGAGAAGGUCCCCUUUCCCUGCUGAGUGUUCUAUCAAAUGAAUGGGCCCUAGGAUUUCCUUAGUUUUAAAAUGAGGUUUUUAUGCCUUGGAAGUCCUAGCCCCAGAUCUCCAGUUUGUAUAGCUGCUUCCAACCCACUGCUUCCUAUGAUCCUGGGGCUCCUUCCCCAGACACCAGCUAUGCCCUCAAGUUGGUGAUUCUAGUUCUGGGUCAAUGAAGAAAGCAGGAAGGGACAGCAACAGGACGUCACUCUCCACUGUUGCAGCAGUAAAUCUCUCAGUAUAAGAAGAUCCUCUCCCUCAGGGGGCUGUCACCUCAGUCCUUGGUGGCUUUGUAAUUUAUUGAACAUUGACCCUUGGGUAUAGCUUGACCCUUCCCCGAACUUGUUUUGCCAUCUGCCAUUUGAGGGUGCUUGUUCUAAAAGGCCUCUGAGUCUUUCAGCUCCCGUGUCCCCCUGCCCCCACGAUUGCCUAUUUGUUCUCUGUGCACAAGGUCAUACAUUAGCUGGGUCAUUCCCACAGCUGCGACCAGAAAUCCUCACAAUGGGCACUUUUCCAGGUAAACC
rnacentral:lncRNA from 1 species